CAAUGAUUAUCCUGAAGGUGAGACGAGAAAGAGCUGCUCCACGGUCAAGGUUGUGAACAACAAAGGAACGGUUAUCCUUUUAGGGUCUUCCUCCUCCAGGCUUUUGAGGACAAAGAUGAAUUAUUUUUAAAAAGAAGCCAGUAUGGAGACACCUGAACAGUGAGAGUGGUUCCACCAGACUCCUCCUCAGGCAGUACACUCAGCAUCGCAGCAUCAGGCCACCGUGGCUUUGAACUAUGUCUAUAAAGAAGGUGCGGUACCUAUAUGCAGUGGAAUACUACUCAGCCAUUAGAAAAGAAUGAAAUAGUGCCGUUUGCAGCAACAUGGAAGGACCCAGAAAUGAUCACCCCAAGUGAAGUAAGUCAGGUAGAGAAAGGCAAACACCGUAUGGCAUCACGUUUACAUGGCAUCUAAACAUGCCAAAAGGAACUCGCCUACGAAACAGACUCACAGCCACAGAGAGCAGACCUGAAGCAGGUUUUCUCAGCCCGACUUUCCAGAUGAAGACCCUGAAGCGCCUCGCCUCCUCUCUAUGCCAUGCCUUCAUCUCCCUCCCCUCUGUCCUCUCCCCCGUCCCAGCAUCAAUGUCAUCCGCAUGCAUGCGCAAAGUCUAAGGAGGCCCAUGCACGUUGCUGGCCUGAGUAUGCAGCCUGCCAGCCAGCACUCUGUCUCUCCAUGCGGCCCCAUACAGUGAAGGCUGUGCCUGGACGGACCCCUGGCCUCAGCAGCUCCUGAGGAGCCACAGGACGCUGCAAAAUGCUCUUUUCCUAGGGGGAUGUAGCCUUGGAACAAAACACCACUGUGGUCAGGCAGCCGGGGGGAGAGGAGCCCCACCUGAAGAGUCAAAGAGAGCAAAGGCAGCUCCUGCUGGUUUUGCCUCCUCAGGUUAACCAAUCAGCCAGUCUCCAUCAAAUGGGGUCAUACUAACUAGUUCUAGUACUAAGUACUAGUAGUACUAACUCAUACUAGUGUUAACCACUCGUAGUACUAACUCAUACUGGCUGAGUCACUAUUGCUAGUACUAACUAGUAGCUUAGGGCUGCCUCGAGGAGGAACUGAGUGUUUGGAGAUGUACAGAGCCCACAGAUGAUACCCAAAAUGAUUUUAGGUGGUGCUCAGAUAAGACAGUAAAUAGCAUUGAUUUGCACAAUUAGUACAUUAUGUUCUUAUAAACUCCCUUUCAACCCUCCUCAUAAUAUCAAGAAAGUCUCCAUUUGAUGUGAGUGUGCCUUUAACACCUGACAUGUGUUUCCUUUGUGCUUUAAAAAAGACAGGGAAGACUUCAGGUGCUGAGUCUAUUCUAGGCAGCAAUACCAGAGUAGAAUUUAAGAAAUUUUUUUGAUCAGAAUAAUUUAUAUGGUUAUUGGUUUUCUAUUUACACUGGUGGUAUAACUUUCGCUUUGUAAGUAAAUGGAUUUAAGUUUUAAUAAAAACAGGUCCAUUAAAGAGAGGGGAAAAGCACUAGGUAGAUAAGAUUCAAUGACAUCCAAAUAUGGCCAAAGUUUUAAAGGGAGCCAGGCUUUCCCGGAGGCUCAGCACUAAAGAAUCCACCUGCAAUGCAGCAGACAGUCUGCAGUUCAUGAGAUGUGGGUUCUAUCUGUGGGUUAGAAAGAUCCCCUGGAGAAGGAAACAGCAACUCACUCCAGUAUUCUUGCCUGGAAAAUCCCAUGGACAGAGGAGCCUGGCGGGCUGCAGUCCACGGGGUCACAAGAGUCAGACACGACUGAAUGGCUAAACCACCACCACCAUAAAGGGAGCCGCGAGUGAUGCAAGUUUGGAAUCACUGAGAAAAUCUACAUCAGUGGGUUCACACAGUGAUUGUGACUGCGGUUUAGGCAUCAAUCCAAGAGGUGACAUGGAUUUUGAGAAUCAGGACAUGGUCCAGAUCCAGAUCCUCCCUCCCAUUCCCUCCAUCACCAGGCCUCAGACUGAAGAGAUAACCAUAGUUCAUGGAACAUGGGUGAGGAUGGAAGCUGGACGAGUACCUGAGCUGGUGCCGGGGCUCUAGGGCUCAGGCAGCAUGGGCUCGAAGCUGGACGAGUACCUGAGCUGGUGCUGGGGCUCUAGGGCUCAGGCAGCGUGGGCUCAGCUCUUCCACAUGUCCGCCCUAUGUGUCCUCAUCUAAAACAGGGAAGACAAACUAUAUCAUCCUUCCCACUCUGAGGAUCUGGCAACCCUUCCUUGUUUCGUCCGUCAUUUUUCUCUGUCUGUUUCAAAGUCAGAUUGUCUGAUGAGAAGUGAACAUCCUCUAAUGAAGCCCUGGGCUUCUCCUAGGGAACACCACUACAGAAGGAUGAUCAAUGUAAAUAA